rnacentral:rRNA from 1 species
GACGAACGCUGGCGGCGUGCCUAAUACAUGCAAGUAGAACGCACAGUUUAUACCGUAGCUUGCUACACCAUAAACUGUGAGUUGCGAACGGGUGAGUAACGCGUAGGUAACCUGCCUGGUAGCGGGGGAUAACUAUUGGAAACGAUAGCUAAUACCGCAUAAUAUUAAUUAUUGCAUGAUAAUUGAUUGAAAGAUGCAAUUGCAUCACUACCAGAUGGACCUGCGUUGUAUUAGCUAGUAGGUGAGGUAACGGCUCACCUAGGCGACGAUACAUAGCCGACCUGAGAGGGGGAUCGGCCACACUGGGACUGAGACACGGCCCAGACUCCUACGGGAGGCAGCAGUAGGGAAUCUUCGGCAAUGGACGAAAGUCUGACCGAGCAACGCCGCGUGAGUGAAGAAGGUUUUCGGAUCGUAAAGCUCUGUUGUAAGAGAAGAACGGGUGUGAGAGUGGAAAGUUCACACUGUGACGGUAUCUUACCAGAAAGGGACGGCUAACUACGUG